UCAUAGCUAAGUUCUUCUUCAAUCAAUUUGUUAUUUUCAUCGAUUCUGUAUUGUGUUGUCUUGUGUGCUAGAUUAUAGGUGUACAUGCUUAUCCCAUUCUUGGCAAAUAUUUCUUCAAGCUGUUCUAGUAAUUUGUCUUGUACCUCUUCAUCUGUUGGUAUAUAUGUUACUAGUUGAUAUUUGUGUACUAAGUAUCGCUCGAUGUCAUCACUCAUUUUUCUCCAAUUUUCAUCAUAAAAUUUUCGCUCAUCUUGUAGAUUGCAGAAUACAAGCAUGGUAAAGAACAGAUAUCGUAAUUGUGUUGUUGUUGCCUAGUUUGCCGCUUCACUAAAUGUAUCAUACCAUUCCUUGUCAUCUUUUAGUAACCCCCGUGCUGUGCAUGCUUCCUUAAAUGUUUGAUACGUUGUUCCAUUAUAUGUUUUUAAGUCAUCGUAGUUUUUUGCUCCUUUAACUAUCAUUAGUAGCAUCCGUAAAUAGAAGCGUUCUCCUUCUAUUGGAUUUACAUAGUACAAUCGACCAAUCUUAAAUUUUUGUUGUCUCUUAGUCCAUUUCCUAUUUUUUACGUCCCAUGUCCACUCUUGUGGGAAUUCGCAGUAUGUUAAUUUUCUUGCAUCUUCAUGUUUUUUAUUUGCUUCAAACCACUCUGUCAAUUUUGUUUUCUGUAAUUUUGGAUCUGUAGCAAUCGAUUUCAGUUUAGUUGCUUUACGUAGUGAUACUAUAUUUUGUAAUGGUAAAUGCACAGGCAACCGUUCAACUGGUGGCCAAUGGUAAUGUAUGUCGUAUCCUAAUAGUCUCCAUAGUGCAUCUUGCUCACAUAUGUAUCGACAAUCUAGGUAUUCCUUAAUCUCAUCAAUGUCUUUUACCUCUUUUUGUGAACCAUCUUGCUCUUUAUUGGAAAUUUGUUCAAAGAUCACGGUUGCUUGAUCUGCCUUUUUGUUAACAUACUUGCAAAGCUAUUUUAAUAAUUUGCUCUUGUUCGCAUAUUCUACAUUUAUAUGAGCUUGAUAUUUCUUAAGUAAUUUUAAAUUAUACAGAACCACCCAUCUGUUAUCUAAGUUGUGGUUUCCUCUUCUAAUAUAAAUCUUACUGUCGCGUCUGCGAUAUAGUGUAAACCCAUCAUCUGUAAAUGUUGUUUCAUGUCUGAAAUCUUUAGGAUAAUAUUUUGAGCAUCUUCCUUUUUUCAUGCAAGGAGAACUUUCAUUUUUGUCACCACAGGGUACAUGCAUCAUGUGUUCAGAUACAAGGACAUAUCCUAAAGGAUCUUUUUCUGGAUCAGGAAUCUCAGCUGAUAUCCAUGAAUCAAUUAUUUCUGUGUUGAUAUUUAAGUUUUUUUUAUCUAUCCACACUAAUAUAUGCACAUGUGGCAAUCCUCUUUUUUGAAAUUCUAUUGAAUAUAAGAUAGCUAAUACAGGACCGAACAGUUUACCAGACCAGAUAUCUUGUAUAAAUUCAUUUAGUUUCAUAUGGAACACUGACUAUAACAUCAGGUCUAUCACUUGGUUGUUCACCAGGUUCUAAAGCACGAAUUAUUUCUUCCCAUCUUGGGUUACAUGUGAAGGUUAUAAAAAGAUCUGGAGGUCCCUAUACUCGACAAAUAGCUAUUCCAUCAUGGUAGUUUUGUAUCACAUAACGUUUUGAUCAUGUAUGGCUUGACGGUAAUAAUAUUUUCUUACCAAUUUGAUUACUAUCAGUCAGUCCUUUUUCUAUUGCAUCAAAGACACCUUGCAAAUAUUCAGCCCGUAGUUUAUCUUGGUUUCUAGCUAUGUAUGCCAAUCUAUCUUCAUCUUCCAUUGCACGUGCAUCUACUAUUGCUUGUUUUGAUAGCCUUCCGUAGCUCAGAAAUGGAUUUGGUUGACCUGGUCUAUAAUGCAUGUGAUACUUGUAAUAUUCAUGCAUUGUAACAUUUUUCCUCUUUUUAUUGUUAGUUGCAUUAUUUUGAUCCUCAUAAUACGGUAUACCAAGUUGGAAUCCUCUUUCACCAUAAGGGAAUAGUGGUGGAUAUUGCAAUGCCAUAUAUGCUGGAUGGAAAAUAGUUAUACGCUGGAGGCCUCUUUGUUUUGUACUAACUAUAAUAUCUCUUUUAUAUUUCUCAAGACUUAGGUCACCGACUACUAGCAUUGCUAGUUCUUCUAUGUGUGGCAUUUCAUAUUGUACUGCGUCACCUUUUCCUGCUCCCAGUAUGCGUAUGCUUAUAUCAAUUCCUUUAUUUUUCUCGAGUAAAUCACGUGCAUGUCGAAAUAUUUUUACCAAAGGAUUGCAUUUGUCAAGCAUAUCUUUUAGGUCUUGGACUAUAAAUGGAUUAAUAUCUGAUUCAUUUGAUUGUUCUUUAUUUAGCGCCUUAAUUCUAUUUUCAAUUUCAUUCUUUGUGUCAAAAACAUAUAAUUCAGCAUAUUCUGGUCUAUGGCCUUGUUUUGGAAGCAAAGAUCCAAUGCGAUGAUGUAUUUGCCCAUUUAUCCGAAAUAUGUAUGGACCCUCACCUUUGUUAAUAUCUUUUAUUAUAUUGGCACCCAUUGAGGUAAAUGCAAAUAGACUGUUGUAUUGCCUUAUUUUUUGAAAGAAAUGCCUUGACAUUGGAUUGUUUUUACUAUAGACUAAUUGUGAAAGUAGCUCCGGUGGAUUUUUGUAUGGUGGUAUUUUUAUCUUUCCAUUUUUGCAACAGUUUGUAUACACAAUUUCUCUAUUUUUCUGGCUUUGUCUCUCGUUACUUCAUUGUACCAAAACAUUGCAUUGCAAUGUUUGCAUCUGUAGAUCGGUUCACCUAAAUAUGACCUUUCAUUAUAUGUUUGUUUCAAUUGCUCAAUAUAUUCAGUUGGGAAAGAUACCAUACCUUGACAACUAUUCAGAUAUGAAUGGUGUGUGUCUGGUGCAGGUAUUAUUACCCUUUUCUUAUUUUCAGUUGCUUCAUCACUGGUGUCAUCGUUUCUUUUCCUUUUCUUUUUCUGGAGCACUGAAAUUCUUUCUUGUCUAAAUUUUUUAUAUUGUGGUUUGAUAUUUCUUUCCCCUAUUGGUUGAUAUUUCCUUUUUGUUCGUGCCAUUUAUGUGCUCUAUAUAUGCCUUGAAAUUUUUCUCUAUAUAUGCCUUGAAAUUUUUCUGCAAAUAUUGUCGCUUAUAUAUAUGGAGGCUUACAUAUAUAUAAGUUUUAUAUACCUGAUUAUUGGUUAGCUUAUUUUCGCAGGCUAUUUUUUGGGUAACAAAUAGUCCAUCAACACGUUAGUAUGGUCCUUGAUAAAAAAAGAAAAAUAGAAGUGGAGUUGAUCUAUGUUUUAGAAGAAAGGUUCAUUGUACAGUACAAACGAAACAGCAACAGUAAAAUGAGGUUGAUGGAAAAAACUACAGAUAGUGUCGGUAAUUGGUGAACUAUUGAGACAGAUCAAUACAGGAUAAGCUAGUAUAUUUUUCCCCCUGCUUAGAGUGUCGAAUGCAUAUUUCUAAUUCUAUCAGUAAGUCUCGUUGGCUAAUACUGUUUGUGGGAAUAGGUUUGUGAAGGAUAGAUAGCUUAACGCUAUUAAAUUUCAUGGACUCUGGUCUGGGUUAUGGCAUGAAUGUAGUUGCACUUCCAAUUGAAGGUCCCUGUGAUUCCUUUGUGAAAUAAUUGUUGGAACAUUUCUAUGUUUAUGGCUUACUUUUCUUGUAUCUUUAUGCCCUAAUAAAUUAUUUGUGUCAUUUGUUCAAUUUGGUUGGUGGUCAAGAUGAAAAGCUCGCUGAAGGAAUCAAACUCUAUGCUAUCCCACUCACAGCGACAUCAAAACGCACCAUUCUCAGCAAUCUAAUUACGAAUCAGCGUGAGAGGACACUAAGGGCCUGUUCGGAUCGCUGGAUUUGGAGUCUGCUAGGCUCAGCCGUUCGGGAUCCCUCUACCUGGUUUGGCUGGCGCGUCCCUGGUCCAUUUUGAAAUGGCUGGCGGUGGUUCUGGUUGAUUUGGCUUUGGUUGGCUGUGGCAGCAGUUGGUUUGGCUGGGUGCUCCAACCAAACAUCGAGCCUAACCAUUUAAGGCUAGCUAAUUCUAGAUAUAGUAAUUAUUGUGAAAUUUUCAAAUUAACUAUGUAUGAAGCUCUUUCCUACCAGAUUAUUAGCAUGCAUUCUUCUAAGAAAUGUCGGAGUUUUUGCAGUGAUAGAUUAAGGGAACAGAUUAGCUUACCUGUUGAUUUGUUGCUUUGGCUUUCUUCAGUAGCGUUGAGUUCCAGACUUUGGGUUAGUGCACAAAGUGGAGACAAGGAAUAGUAGUAAGAAUGCAGCUGGCUGGAGACGGGUUAUUAUAUAUAUAUUUGUUGUUUCCCCGCGCUGGA